AUGGCUAAUAAAUCUUCCCCAAUUGCAGCUAGGCGUUGCUUCCUUUUUUCUACUUUUUCCUCCUUGGUCAGUGGCUUUUUAAAUCCAAGUUCUGCUGCAGCCAUUUCUCUCUCUCUUCUUUGUGCAGCGAGACGCUCCUCAAAACUAUUAAGGAAGAACUGGGCAGUUCGUCUAACAGCCGUCAUGUCUCCAGUAGGUACAAGGACACCCAUUUGGAUCAUCGCCUGAAGGACUUUAUCAGGAUCCUUCUCAUAAAUUCCAUAAAAU
rnacentral:misc_RNA from 1 species